CCUACGGGAGGCAGCAGUGAGGAAUAUUGGUCAAUGGGCGCGAGCCUGAACCAGCCAAGUCGCGUGAAGGAUGACUGCCCUACGGGUUGUAAACUUCUUUUAUAAAGGAAUAAUGUUAGGCACGUGUGCCUUUUUUUAUGUACUUUAUGAAUAAGCAUCGGCUAACUCCGUGCCAGCAGCCGCGGUAAUACGGAGGACCCGAGCGUUAGCCGGAUUCAUUGGGUUUAAAGGGAGCGUAGAUGGGUGGUUAAGUCAGAUGUGAAAGUUUGCGGCUCAACCGUAAAAGUGCAAUUGAUACUGGCAGUCUUGAGUACAGUUGAGGUAGGCGGAAUUCGUGGUGUAGCGGUGAAAUGCUUAGAUAUCACGAAGAACUCCGAUUGCGAAGGCAGCUUACUAAACUGCCACUGACAUUGAUGCUCGAAAGUGUGGGUAUCAAACAGGAUUAGAUACCCCUGUAGUC
rnacentral:rRNA from 1 species